rnacentral:rRNA from 1 species
UACAGAGGUCUCAAGCGUUGUUCGGAUUCAUUGGGCGUAAAGGGUGCGUAGGUGGCGGGGCAAGUCAGAUGUGAAAUCCCGGGGCUCAACCCCGGAACUGCAUUUGAUACUGCCUUGCUCGAGUACUGGAGAGGAGACUGGAAUUUACGGUGUAGCAGUGAAAUGCGUAGAUAUCGUAAGGAAGACCAGUGGCGAAGGCGAGUCUCUGGACAGUUACUGACACUGAGGCACGAAGGCCAGGGGAGCAAACGGG